UGGGGGCUGAGACGGAGCGGAGGUAACGGCUUCCUGCAGCCACCCUUCUGUUGAGACAACUUCUGACAAGACUUCAGCGAUGGAUCAAGUGAAGGGUUGUUGUCCCCUUCGUUGUGUCCCUGGAGUGAGGUGAGCUAGAGAGUUUCCCCUCAAACCGUGAGAGUGUGCGUGGGUCGUGAGGAUUGGAUGUUUGGACUGCCCUCUCACCUCUGGAUCUCCCCCACAUUAACCCUCUUCUGUGUGGCCUGUGAUUUUCUCUUCUCUGUAAAUAAACAGAAAGGACAGAUUCUAAAAGUCUACAGUGAGCUAUGUAGCUAAGCCUGGUAUA
ensembl:lncRNA